rnacentral:rRNA from 1 species
GACGAACGCUGGCGGCGUGCUUAACACAUGCAAGUCGAACGGUAAGGCCCUUCGGGGUACACGAGUGGCGAACGGGUGAGUAACACGUGGGGGAUCUCCCCUGCACUUCGGGCUAAGCCUGGGAAACUGGGUCUAAUACCGGAUCGGCCCACUGCCUGCAGGGUUGGUGGAGGAAAGCUUUUGUGGGAUGGGAAGGGCCCUCGGCCUAUCAGCUUGUUGGUGGGGUGAUGGCCUACCAAGUCGACGUGGGGUAGCCGGCCUGAGUGGGUGACCGGCCACACUGGGACUGAGAUACGGCCCAGACUCCUACGGGAGGCAGCAGUGGGGAAUAUUGCACAAUGGGCGCAAGCCUGAUGCAGCGACGCCGCGUGAGGGAUGACGGCCUUCGGGUUGUAAACCUCUUUCAGCACCGACGAAGCGCAAGUGACGGUAGGUGCAGAAGAAGGACCGGCCAACUACGUGCCAGCCGCCGCCGUAAAAC